CUGGCAUCUGAUCUUGUUUUUGGUUUUCUACUUAUGGCUUCAUCCCACCACUCUGUACCAUGUCCAUGACCUUGAACUCUAUACUGACUCUUCUGGAUGGACUGCUAUCAGGAAUCCUAGGUAUGAUGAGCAGGUUAUCAGUGGAUGAUAAGUCAGAAGAAGAAA